AUACAGUAGAUGGUGGCCUUGGACAGGAAUCUGUAGAGUCUGCAGAGGGUGAACAAGUGGAGAGUAUUCUCCGAUUACCUGACGGGGACAAGGCCAAAAGGCAGACACUAACAAAGAUCAAGACUGCGAUGGAGGCCAACUGGUCCAAUUACAACAUCACUACGCAUGGCAUUGGGCCAGAAAUGUUGAAGGGUCCUUUUGCUCUAAUUGAUGCGUGCCUGGCCGAAGCAGAGAACCUCCACUGCUUUCAGGAGUAAAAGUGUCUAGCGUGUCAAUAAAGCAUGUCAAUAAACCU